UCGAAAUGGAGAAAGAAAAAAAUGGGCAGUAGCCCAGUAACUGUCGGCAUUUUUCAUCGAAGUUUGUUGGCUCAAAGAUGCAAAGUGAGAGGAAGGACAGUGUAAGAUUUUUUAGAUAGUAUGAGGCGUGCGGUGAUUGGUUAAAUCAGUCGAGGAUUCUGCGUUUGCCUAGACUUGAUAGUCAAUGUCAAAAUAAUGAAUAUGGUCAUGUUGAAAUCAGCUUCCUGUUGUUACUGAGGAGAUCGAUCAGUUGUCAUGAUUGAUAGUCAGCAAUUCACUGAGAUCCAUCAUUGGAUGCUUUGAUAACAUAUUUUAGCGGGCUCACAUGGUGAACCUGACAGUGACGAGAAUGGUGUUGGCUGACAAGCCGAAUGGCGUGAUACAAGUUAUUUUCCUGUGUUUGAUCACCACUCUUGAGUCUCACUCCUCCUCCUCCUCCUCCUCAGGCCUGCUUACGGCUCCCGAACAACAGAUCGCUGAGGCAACUAAUCUAUUGGUGAGAGAAAAGAGACAAGGUGCAGAAAUUUGUGAUUUUGGUGCGGAGCCUAAUUUGAUAUUCUGCGAUUGGAGUAACAGAAACUCAACCAUAUUAAGAUGGGAGCUGGGUGCAGGAACCUUAGCAAACUGGAUUGGUGGACCCAGUAAAGAUGCAGGCAGUGAUGACAACAGCAAAGGAGGCUAUAUUUUCUUUGAGACUUCUUUGCUAGCUGCACCAGUCUUGCGAAUUGAGGACAUUGGAGUUAGAGAUGGUCAAAAUGCCUACAUUGAAAGUGCUAUUCAGAUGUCAACAGGAGCAGAAGGAAAAUGUGUCUCUUUCAGUUUCUCCAUUGACGGUUUAAGUGCGGCUGGUUUACGAGUCAUUUUGCAGCCAGUCAAGAUGGAAGACCUGAUGGAUUUUUCCGGGUUCUUUGGGGAACUAAGGACCCUUCAAAUCGAAUGUGGAUGGAGGCAGAAGUACUUUAUACCUAUAAUAGAGACCAUCAAAUCGUUUUCGAAGGUGUCGCCAAAGAGUUACCUGACCCUUUCCGCAAGUUUCGAGGUUUUGUCGCUGUAGACAAUGUG
rnacentral:lncRNA from 1 species